GAAGAACGCUGGCGGCGUGCUUAACACAUGCAAGUCGAACGGUAGGGCCCUUCGGGGUACACGAGUGGCGAACGGGUGAGUAACACGUGGGUGAUCUGCCCUGCACUUCGGGAUAAGCCUGGGAAACUGGGUCUAAUACCGGAUAGGACUCCGGACUGCAUGGUCUGGGGUGGAAAGCUUUUGCGGUGUGGGAUGGGCCCGCGGCCUCUCAGCUGGUUGGUGGGGUGAUGGCCUACCAAGGCGACGACGGGUAGCCGGCCUGAGAGGGUGACGUGCCACACUGGGACUGAGAUACGGCCGAGACUCCCACGGGAGGCAGCAGUGGGGAAUAUUGCACAAUGGGCGCAAGCCUGAUGCAGCGAAGCCGCGUGAGGGAUGACGGCCUUCGGGUUGUAAACCUUUUUCAGCAUCGACGAAGCGAAGGUGACGGUAGGUGCAGAAGAAGGACCGGCCAACUACGUGCCAGCCGCCGCAGUAA
rnacentral:rRNA from 1 species